GUCUUUUGUUAUUGAUAUUGUGUAUAGUUUAAUAAAGGGUGUAAAGGGGGUUGUUUUGAGGGAAAAAAAAUGUGGGAAAUUGGGGGGAUUUUAACUCUCCCGCUCUCCCACACUCGGUGCACAUUGGGGUGUGUAAAAGCGAAAAUGUUAUUUUCACUGAUGAUCCUUCCGCAGGUUCACCUACGGAAA
rnacentral:misc_RNA from 1 species